rnacentral:lncRNA from 1 species
UGAUCCAUCAUUCAUCCAACAUGUCAUCUAACUUAGUGAUUGGGUGACGAUACUUUACCGUUAUAUUAUUGAUGGCUCUAUAAUCCACGCACAUUCUCCAUGACCCAUCUUUCUUUGGCACAAGCAAUACUGGUGCUGUACAUGGAUUCAUGUUCUCCCUUACAUGACCCUUGAUUGUCAACUCCUCUACUUGCCUCUGAAGUUCCUUUGUCUCCUCAGGAUUACUUCGGUAAGCUGGUCGAUUUAGAAUGACAGCUCCAGGUAUAAAGUCAAUCUGGUGUUCAAUACCUCGAAUGGUUGGUAACCCACUAGGCAUGUCCUCCGAAAAUAUUUCUUCGAAUUCCUGCAAUAAAGAUUUAGCCAAACUAGGGAGGGAUGUGUUAGUUUCCUCCAAAUUGAGGAGUGAUGAAAAAGAUCAUUUCUUUUCUCUCAACUACCGCUCUCCUCACUUCACUCCCUUUUGCAAAGAAAUUUGCUCGUGAUUUUUCUUUUCUCUUAGAAAACUCUUUCUUUUCUCUCUUGUGGCUCCUCUCUCUUUUUCUCUCUAGUAGUCACCUCACCAUUUUCUCUCUUACUCCCUACCUCAUUGUUUUCUCUUAUCUUCUCUAACUCUUUUACCCUUCUCUCUUCUUCAUUCUUCAACUUGAUUUGGUCCUCAUAUACUUGCGUCGGCGUUAAGGGCACAAGGGUA